GACGAACGCUGGCGGCGUGCUUAACACAUGCAAGUCGAACGGUAAGACCCUUCGGGGUACACGAGUGGCGAACGGGUGAGUAACACGUGGGUGAUCUGCCCUGCACUUCGGGAUAAGCCUGGGAAACUGGGUCUAAUACCGGAUAGGACUCCGGACUGCAUGGUCUGGGGUGGAAAGCUUUUGCGGUGUGGGAUGGGCCCGCGGCCUAUCAGCUUGUUGGUGGGGUGAUGGCCUACCAAGGCGACGACGGGUAGCCGGCCUGAGAGGGUGACCGGCCACACUGGGACUGAGAUACGGCCCAGACUCGUACGGGAGGCAGCAGUGGGGAAUAUUGCACAAUGGGCGCAAGCCUGGUGCAGCGACGCCGCGUGAGCGAUGACGGCCUUCGGGUUGUAAACCUCUUUCAGCAUCGACGAAGCGAAAGUGACGGUAGGUGCAGAAGAAGGACCGGCCAACUACGUGCCAGCCGCCGCGGUAA
rnacentral:rRNA from 1 species